rnacentral:rRNA from 1 species
AACGAACGCUGGCGGCAUACCUAACACAUGCAAGUCGAACGAGACCUUCGGGUCUUGUGGCGCACGGGUGCGAAACGCGUGGGAACCUGCCCUUAGGUUCGGAAUAACUCCCCGAAAGGGGUGCUAAUACCGGAUAAUGUCUUCGGACCAAAGAUUUAUCGCCUUUGGAUGGGCCCGCGUUGGAUUAGCUAGUUGGUAGGGUAAAAGCCUACCAAGGCGACGAUCCAUAGCUGGUCUGAGAGGAUGAUCAGCCACACUGGGACUGAGACACGGCCCAGACUCCUACGGGAGGCAGCAGUGGGGAAUAUUGGACAAUGGGCGAAAGCCUGAUCCAGCAAUGCCGCGUGAGUGAUGAAGGCCUUAGGGUUGUAAAGCUCUUUUACCCGGGAUGAUAAUGACAGUACCGGAAGAAUAAGCUCCGGCUAACUCCGUG